CCUACGGUGAGCAGCAGUGGGGGAUAUUGCACAAUGGGGGGAACCCUGAUGCAGCGACGCCGCGUGGGUGAAGGAGCGUUUCGGCGCGUAAAGCCCUAUCGGCAGGGAAGAAGGAGGACGGUACCUGACUAAGAAGCCCCGGCUAACUACGUGCCAGCAGCCGCGGUAAUACGUAGGGGGCAAGCGUUAUCCGGAUUUACUGGGUGUAAAGGGAGCGUAGACGGUUAUGUAAGUCUGGAGUGAAAGCCCGGGGCCCAACCCCGGGACUGCUUUGGAAACUGUGUAACUGGAGUACAGGAGGGGCAGGCGGAAUUCCUGGUGUAGCGGUGAAAUGCGUAGAUAUCAGGAGGAACACCGGCGGCGAAGGCGGCCUGCUGGACUGAAACUGACGUUGAGGCUCGAAAGCGUGGGGAGCAAACAGGAUUAGAUACCCCUGUAGUC
rnacentral:rRNA from 1 species